UGAGGAAUAUUGGUCAAUGGGCGGGAGCCUGAACCAGCCAAGCCGCGUGAGGGAUGAAGGCCCUAUGGGUCGUAAACCUCUUUUGUCAGGGAACAAAAGCGAGUAUGUAUACUAGUCUGAGUGUACCUGAAGAAAAAGCAUCGGCUAACUCCGUGCCAGCAGCCGCGGUAAUACGGAGGAUGCGAGCGUUAUCCGGAUUUAUUGGGUUUAAAGGGUGCGUAGGCGGCGGUGCAAGUCAGCGGUAAAAGCCCGGGGCUCAACCCCGGCGAGCCGUUGAAACUGCAGUGCUAGAGAAGGCGAGAGGUACGCGGAAUGCGCAGUGUAGCGGUGAAAUGCUUAGAUAUUGCGCAGAACUCCGAUUGCGAAGGCAGCGUACUGGCGCCUAACUGACGCUGAGGCACGAAAGCGUGGGGAUCGAACAGGAUUAGAUACC
rnacentral:rRNA from 1 species